GGGGUGUUCAAAUUGGGGAUUUUUCUUUAAGUUAGCAUAUGAUGUUUUUAGCUGAUUAUGUAUUUUAUGUAUUGAUGUAUAUGUUUGUGUUUGUAAACUUUUGUAUCCCACCCAAGGGGAAAAGGGGAUAGAAAUGAAUCAAUAGUAGUGGUAAUAAUAAUAAUAAUAAUAAUAAUAAUAAUAAUAAUAAUAAUAAUAAUACAAAGGAUACUCUUCCCAUAAACACAUUUCUGUGAAAAACCCAUGUUGGUUUCUGAAAUUUGGGAUGAGGUGUUUGAAUAAUGAAGCUUUUGCACAAAAUCCCCACAAUCUCUAUCAAGAAAAUCAUGUGAAUUUCUAUGCAGAAUAUUUCCUCAAAGACCCUGGGAAACCCAUAUACUGGGCUAAAACUACAUAAAUAUUUUUGCUCAUGCACAUAAUUACAUUUUAGACAUUGCCAGCACAAUAUGUGCUGCCAUAUUCAUUCUGUUUCAGAUUAAAUCUAACCCAUUGAUUUUAGGCAAUAAAAACUAACGGCUGACCUUAACGUGCUUAUGUUAUUUUAUGUGGUUGCUGCACCUCUUUGCAAUUUGAGAAUAAUAUGUUUACUCUGCUUCUUUUGUCACUUCCAGUAGUUUGGCCAUUGAGUAAAAUAGAAACAUAACCAAUACAUUAAUAAAGGUAAGUAUGCUUAAAGAUGUUGUUAAAGAAAGAUGUUGCUUCGUUUUAAAGAGUUGGAGUGAAGAAGCAAGAGAAGCUAUCCAAAGUCUGAAAGCAAGAAAAAGAAAAGAAAUGCCAAGGUGUGUUUGGAGGAUGGUUCUGAGAAUGCCAGUCAGCACGUCACAACUUCUCACAGAACUUCUAGCAACCUCUCACUGAACCCUCGGGCAACAGGGAUCCUUGGCCGAGAAAACUUGAUCUGAGUUGUUGCCACCAGAUUCAUCUCUUUACUUUCAGCUAGGAACAUCUGGCAAUUUUGUUUGGGUUGAUAAAGAAAUCAUGAACUAUAACAAGUUCUUAUUUUAGAAGAUGAACUUGAGCAAACAUGUCACCAAACUGUGACAGAAUAAAAUUCUUUUUGGAAGCCUACAAUAUUAUGUGAGAGAAAGUAAAACUGACAGAUUGCUCGACUUACCAGAGUGUGAAGGUUUUAAAAAGACUGAUUGACAGAGAUACAGGACAAAUAGGUAUACCAUGAUCUCUACAAUAGAAUAGGUGCACUCAAUAAAA
rnacentral:lncRNA from 11 species